AAAGUGCAUUGGUAUCUUUACUCUGGACAAAGAUCAGACAGGCAAGAUGUAGCUAACAAAUCAGAAUAUCUGCAAGUCCUAGGGCUCUGCUACAUCCUUGACCUUACUACCCUACAAAGAUGUGGUCCCCAAAGUAAAAGUACACUGGCAAAAAUCCCAGACAUAUGUAUCUGGACCAUAAAGAUGUUUUAGGAUACUGUUACUGUCAGGUUUAUAUUCCCUCAAUGCUUCCCCUUCCUUCAAGGCAUGUCUCCUGUUUUGCUUAGGGGUACUUGUCAAUACUCUUUCUCCUGGCAGGGUACAUUCCUACCAUGCAAGAUCCACAGAAGAGAAAUGAACUGGAACUCCAGUCAUACUUCAACCAUGACAGUGUUCAUGGACACCCAGAGAUGGGGUGAGGUUUCUACCUACUUGUAGUAGAAACCUGCAGGCUCUGUGAGGGGAAAGACAAACUGAACAGCUAGUCCAGAUGGAAGAGAGAAGCAAGAAUUGUCUUCACUUUAUGGGCAUAUAAAGGGAAGAUCCUCCAGUCAGUCUGAUGGAUUUAGUUCCAGGUUAUCUUGUGAAAAAUGAAUGACCUGAUGACUCAUGCAGAGCUAAAAGUACUUAAUAAGUUGGAAGCAGAGGUUGUAAUUCAGUUAUGAGUGUGAAAGACCCAGGAAAUUCUUCAAAGGAGCUUCAAAGAGAAUACUGCAUUUUCUUAAGCAUGCAAAUGAAGAGAGGAGAGAUCCCAGCUUCCAGUGAUCAUGGAAACUAGGUUUUGCAGAGAUGAUACUCCUAAAUAGGUUAUAUGUCAGUUGUCAUAUUUGUUAAUAAAAAUGAAGAUAUUGUCAACUAGUCUGACAGAUGCUUAUGUUUUUAAGUGAACGAUCUUUUGUCUUAAAGGUUAAAGUUAACAUCUUUCAGAUCCCUAAGAAUGGGUACAUUUUUGAACACCAAGCUGACCAUGUGGUAUACAAGUAUAAGGAGUAUAAUCUGUGGAUUUCUCACAUGAAUAAGGUAAAAUGUAAUCUUUGACUUUAGGUGAAAAUUGCUUUGGGUGCCUGGUAACUUAACUGGUUACAGUAGAGAAAGCUGUCCUCACAGAAAGUGCCACUUGUGUGAGACAGCAUGUUCACUGUGAUGACUUGCAAAACUCAGCAGAUUUCUGUUCUUGUAAGUAGGUAUAUUGGGCAGGUCUUUACGCCCCUUAUAACUUGAAGACCAUGCAAUACUUAGUCUCCAAUUUGAGAAGUGGAAUAAACUUUAAUGUGAACAGAAUACAAAGGUUUGCACAAUAUAUUUAAAAUAGUGUCAUCUAAGACUUAAUGUUUGUUCUUUAAGUCUGAAGAUGCAGUUUGUUUCUGCCAGACUAAUUUUUCAGUCUUGUCUGACCAGGACAGCCCUAAAGGAAAAGCAGCAAUGAGCAAACUAGUCCAAAGCAUAGUUUUUUAAAGAUGAUGUAUGUAAAUAUAUGUGUGUGUGUGUGUGCAUAUCUAUAAUAUAUGUGCAUUAUUUAUAUAUAUAUAUAAAAUAUAAGAAAGUAAUAAUGAAAACAGGGUAUUUCCUUAGCAUUAAUGACUGGCUGGGGUUAAAAGCCUGCAACGUCCCACUCCCAUCUGGUCCUAAUCCUUAGGAAAUACUUAGAAAAUACAUUAUUGCUUUGCCAUGAAGUCAGCACACUACUGAUGGCAACUUACAGAGAGCUGGUUAUAUAGUACAUACAUAAGAUAAUAUCUAAGUAGUUUUAAUGCAGGUGUUCUUUAUACAGUUCUAAAUACUCCCGCAAUUUCACAUGUUGGUAUUGAAAAAACACUUUUAAGUAUUUACACUUGAGCACUGGUCAUGAAAAAGUUAAGA